UACGGGGGGGGCAAGCGUUGUUCGGAAUUACUGGGCGUAAAGGGCUCGUAGGCGGCCAACUAAGUCGGAUGUGAAAUCCCCAGGCUUAACCUGGGAAUUGCAUCCGAUACUGGAUGGCUUGAAUCCGGGAGAGGGAUGCGGAAUUCCAGGUGUAGCGGUGAAAUGCGUAGAUAUCUGGAGGAACACCGGUGGCGAAGGCGGCCUGCUGGGCAGUGGCUGACGCUGAGGCGCGACAGCGUGGGGAGCAACAGG
rnacentral:rRNA from 1 species